rnacentral:rRNA from 1 species
AGUGAACGCUGGCGGUAGGCCUAACACAUGCAAGUCGAACGGCAGCACAGUAAGAGCUUGCUCUUACGGGUGGCGAGUGGCGGACGGGUGAGGAAUACAUCGGAAUCUACUUUUUCGUGGGGGAUAACGUAGGGAAACUUACGCUAAUACCGCAUACGACCUACGGGUGAAAGCAGGGGAUCUUCGGACCUUGCGCGAUUGAAUGAGCCGAUGUCGGAUUAGCUAGUUGGCGGGGUAAAGGCCCACCAAGGCGACGAUCCGUAGCUGGUCUGAGAGGAUGAUCAGCCACACUGGAACUGAAGCACGGACCAGACUCCUACGGGAGGCAGCAGUGGGGAAUAUUGGACAAUGGGCGCAAGCCUGAUCCAGCCAUACCGCGUGGGUGAAGAAGGCCUUCGGGUUGUAAAGCCCUUUUGUUGGGAAAGAAAAGCAGCAGGUUAAUACCCCGCUGUUCUGACGGUACCCAAAGAAUAAGCACCGGCUAACUUCGUG